rnacentral:rRNA from 1 species
AACGAACGCUGGCGGCAUGCCUAACACAUGCAAGUCGAACGAGACCUUCGGGUCUAGUGGCGCACGGGUGCGUAACGCGUGGGAACCUGCCCUUAGGUUCGGAAUAACUCCCCGAAAGGGGUGCUAAUACCGGAUAAUGUCAUCGGACCAAAGAUUUAUCGCCUUUGGAUGGGCCCGCGUUGGAUUAGCUAGUUGGUAGGGUAAAAGCCUACCAAGGCGACGAUCCAUAGCUGGUCUGAGAGGAUGAUCAGCCACACUGGGACUGAGACACGGCCCAGACUCCUACGGGGGGCAGCAGUGGGGAAUAUUGGGCAAUGGGCGAAAGCCUGAUCCAGCAAUGCCGGGGGAGUGAUGAAGGCCUUAGGGUUGUAAAGCUCUUUUACCCGGGAUGAUAAUGACAGUACCGGGAGAAUAAGCUCCGGCUAACUCCGUG